CAACGCCGGCCGUCGCCGACGCCGUCGUCGUCGUCGUCGUUCGCCCGUCGUCGUUCAACGAGACUCGUCUCUUUCCCUGUCUCUGCCCGCCGCCGAGCUGCUCCCCGCGGAUCUUUUCACGUCGCCGAGGCUUCGGCGCCCGGCGACGAAGGACGACGCGGGCGCGGCAGCAAGUGCAUCUCUUUUGCGACGAAUGCGUUGCCCGACAUCGCGGUGUAAUCAGACACCGGUACGAGGGGGAUGGGAGCGCGGGAGGGAGAGACGCAGAGACUGAGGGACGUAAACGUAAUUGGAAACAUCCGAGAGGGAGAUUCGCCACACGCUUCUGAUCCGCGCCGCGCGCGGUUCGCCUGUUUCCAUUCUCCCUUCGGGCCGUUCGCCGCAACGUAACGCAAGCGCCAUAUCUCCGCUUUUUCUCGCGUCCUAUCUGCUAACUUUCGCGUCUCUCGGCCGGACAACGGACAAUUCACGGGAAUGUAUCAUUUCCCUGGGAAAAAUAUUAUCUCACGAUGCUAUCGACUAUUAAAAAAAAAAGAUCCUCGAUGAUGAAAAUCCUAAUAAAUGCUGGAAAAUCGCGUUCGACAUUAUCGCCGGUUAAAAACGAUCGCAAUUAAUUAGUGCUAAAAGCGAGACACGGAAUACGCGCUAUAAUUACGCGGUUUUCCGGUUAUUAUUAAUGUGUUUAUCUUUUUUAUGCGACUUCAAAGAUAUUUUAUAUUUACGCGAGAGACAUCAUCUUACGAAACGUGGCUGCGGAGAGAAAAGCGCGCUUUCUUUGUGACGACGUUUACAAUUACGUACGUGCGGCUUUGUAAAUGGCAGGGCGCGCGCGCCACGCAUGAUUAAGCAGAGCCCGGCGAUAAUGCGCUGCGUGCGGCUCUCCGGCGUAAAGAAGGUGUAAAUACCUCCCGAUGAUUCCUCGUAGGAUCGAAGCGGAUCGCGCAAAGGGAGCCGACACGGAGGCGGCUCCUUUCUCGUCGAUAGUUUCAAUGGAGAGUUUUUCUCAUAGAGCCAGUCGCCCCCCUACUCUACCUCUCUCUUUCUCUCUCUCUUUUGCUCUCGCUCUUUUCUGCCGUUCCCCUUCGUGCCGAUGUACGCGUGUACACGGAGAACGAUAAAAAAGACGAGAUCUCAAAAGGUACGCGGAGCACCGCCUCUGAUGAAUGCCGCAACCAGUUGGCCACCAUGUUUUCCCUCCGCCGGUGUAUGUACGCCCUACUCUCCGAAACAUCCCCUGUGCCGCGUCCCUCCGUGUGCCGACUUUCCAACCCCUCGCAAAACCGCGAUUGAACCCUUGUACAUCCAGCGCGUAUACUGCGUACUGCGGCGUCCAGAGGUGAUUUUACGUGCGCUUUGUGAGCGGCGGGAUCGCGGGAUGGGUAACUUUUACAGUUAUCGAGCAACGCUACAGAAAAUGUACACUGACAAAUUGGAUUGCCAUCAAUGAUUUUAAAGCGGGGACGAAAGAUCAGCAGCGUGCAUCGUGAAAAGCUGCAUUUGUAUAUGUGAUAUAUAACGUGAUUGAUAAAAAUUAAAAUUUUUCAAUAGAAGAAAGAAGAUAGAAAUUGAUCAUCGUCCGAAAAAAGAGAAAAAGAAGAAAAAUGAAAAUCAAAAAGUAAUAUUUUAAAUAAAGUAAUGCUUUGAAUGGUAAUGCUUGAAAUGAAAAUGAUCCGGACAAUAAGAUAACAAUAAUCAGUAUUCUUCAAGUGAUGACUUCGAUCACAAAAUAAUAAUAUUAUAUCAUCGCGUUUAAUUGAAACAAAAAAUUCUGUCUGCGAAAAAAAGCGCUCUUCGAUUCCAUUGGUUCAUAAUACGUCGUGGUGAAUCUGGCGCGUACACGUAGAAGAAGGCAAGAAGGAUGAAAGAAGAGAAGCAGAAGACGAAGGAAGAAAAAAAAAGGAUAACGCGGGCAGAGCAAGAAAGAGAAAGCUGGCCGAUAAACAAACUGCCAAGGAUCGCGGCACUUUAAUCUUCCUUUGAAGGCAUCGGCCGCUCUUUGCGGCAUUGAAUGAAAAGAGAACAGGAGCGGGAGAGGGGUCCCGAACCCACCCCAUAUCUCUCCCUCUUCCGCGCAUUCUACCCCGCGACUCAUUAUGGCAACAUGCGGUAAGUAUGCUCGUGCUUAAGUCUCGGCGUACCCUUCGGGCGAGGGGUGCCCCAAACAGCAUCGGUAUUAGUUACAUGUAUAUAGAGCGCGUAUACAGAGCGCCGGUCGCAAAAAGCGGUGGUCGAGGGCCCCGGUACGCGACGGAGGUACCGCGUUACGGCACUGUCGAAAACCGUCGGUGGCCGGGGACAGGGUGGAGGGUGGAGGAGAGAGAGCAUCCCUUAUUUCGCGGCGGCUCGUUGCAUGGAUCGGCGCAUCCGAAUAGUCUCUCCACUCCCUUGAUCCGGGGGUUCCAGGUGGUUCCUUUGCCCCCCUCCCGCCUUCCGGACAUACUCUUAAAAAUUAGGUAUCGUGGAUACCAAAGCCGAUGGUACGCGUUUCACAGCUGCAACGGGAUAGAAACGGCCAGCAAGCCGCGCGUGUCUCCACCUUUGUCCUUCUUUUGCUUUAGUCAUUGUAUUCAUUGUAUUUUCUUAAUUCUGGCAGUUUAGCUAUGAAUCUAAACCGUAGAAAUGUAUUUAAGAUUAUGUUCAACUCGAUUCAAUAUAUAUCUAAAAUGACUUUUCAUAAAACACAAUCUAAAGGAAUUAAUGAAUAGUAAAUUAUUUACAUUACGUAAUUAUAGCUUAUAGAAACUUUAAAAAGAUAUUUAAAAAGUAUCUCAUAAAAUAUCAAGCAGUUCAUAAAAAGAAUCGCAUAAACCCGAAGUCGGAUUAUAUUUUCGUUUAUUACUGACUUUACAAAAACGAAACAUAAACGAGAGAGCUUUCGCAAGCUCAGCCUUUUGCAGUUGGAAUAUGUUGACGAAAGCCCAUAACUUUUUCUGCAGAACUUUCGUCGAAACUUGCAGUUCUGCAACUCGAAAUAAAUCUUUGUACAUCUCAAUAUCUUUAUAACCGAAUAAUUCCUGCGGAAAAAUACUUGUUCGUGAAACAUUUCUACUAAACAAACUGAAUUGUAAACCGAACGGGGUCCGCAUUUAGCCACACAAAUGUAGGAUGCGUGUGAAUUCCAUUCUGUCGGUCUCGCUACUUCGAGUAACAAUUUAGCGCUUAAGUUCUCAGAGAGUGCGAUCAGGUAAGGGAAGAAGGAGAGCCGCAGAGCAGCGUGGUACCAGGACCCGAAGAUAAUCCCGACGGUGAUGGCGACCGGUGCCGACGUGAUGGGACUUACCCCACCCCUCGCGCGGAGUGCCAACCCCUCGAGUAAGAGGCAACGAUACCGCCGAGGUCUGAAAGGCCGCUGCGAAUAACGCGCUUACGCGCGAUCAUCCGACCGCGAGUCUCGAUGCCCGUGACAGAUCGUGCCGCGGCCGGCGUCCUUGUGAAUAUCGCGGGGACUAAAGCCCGUACUAAAGAGCGAAAAGGGGCGGAGGGAGGGCACUAAGUCUUUCGUGGAUGGCCGGGCGCGCGCACACCGCCGGCGCGACAAUACGGUGUAGAUUACUUUUCAGAAUGGGCGGCGUGACGUAAACACGCUCCGGCGGUUUUUUCUUCGCGAACAAUGCUGUGUUUGCCGACACAAUUUGUCUCGGAUUUAGGUGCAUCGGCAGAAAUGCGUGCGCCUAUAUAGAUGCCUAGAUGUUGAGCGAUGCGCAUCAAGCUUCGAAAAUCUGCACUCACGGUCGCUUAUAUUGGCGAACGUUAAACUUUUUCCUGACGCAUUGUUGAAAUAAAUAACGCGUAAAAAUAAUUAGCAUUGUGUUGAUUACCCAUUGUUGUUGAUUAAAGAAUUCAACGAACUAGAUAAUAUUUUUCGCUGUGGAAUAUAUAAAUAAUUAUCUGGCUGUUGUGUAUAAUGUAUAUUUUUUAAUUCUUUUUAGUUUCAUCGUUUCUAGGUACUGAGCUAUAUUCUACUAUAGCAUAGCCUCUUAGAAAUGCAGCCGUAGUUGAGCCGGUUUGGUAGCUGAGAGAGCUCAUUAUACUAUGAGUAAUAUUACCUCACGCGGUAUAAUAUUAACGCGGGCGUCUCAAGAACUUGGAAAAGGGUCGAGCAACGCGUCGCGAUCGAGAUUGAUUUGAUCUACCGCCGACAGGGUGGCAGGCGAAAUGAUAUGCCCUGAAUAUUGGGGUCUGAUGAAGGCUUCUCAAAUGUCGUGUUGGACUUGGACAGCGAGCAACCAGAAAGGAAGAAAAAGAGGGAAAAGGAAACAAAGAAGGUAGAGAGAGAGAGAGAGAGAGAGAGAGAGAGAGAGAGAGAGAGAGAAAGAUAGAGACUUGAUUGAAAUAGAAUAGGAGACUAAGCGAGAAGGACGCAUUCCUAGACGGCUUACCGGGAUAGACACACCGCGUCGGCCGUCGCACGUUUUCUCAUACCCAAAGGUAGCGGAUUUGUUUCUUCUUCUUAUCCGAUCUCUUGGAGCAAGAGCUCCUUGCUUGCAGAUUGCGACCCUGCCGUACAAAGGCACUCCGAAGACGCAACGUCUCUAGUGUCAUCUUCGAAGAACUCGGAAUUAUGUGAUACUGUUGCUUCUUUCUUUCCAAUGAACUUGCCAGGCAGCUAAAAUAUAACUUUAUACAAAAAAUGAAUCGAUCAACAAUAAUCCUUGUAUACUUUUUAUAUUCUUACGUUAAAUACUCCUAGCAUGAUGAAUAUCUUAUUGUUAUUUGUAGAAAUGUGCAAUACCAAUAAAAAUCUCAUUUUUGAGACACA